rnacentral:rRNA from 1 species
AAAUUGAAGAGUUUGAUCAUGGCUCAGAUUGAACGCUGGCGGCAGGCCUAACACAUGCAAGUCGAACGGUAACAGGAAGCAGCUUGCUGCUUUGCUGACGAGUGGCGGACGGGUGAGUAAUGUCUGGGAAACUGCCUGAUGGAGGGGGAUAACUACUGGAAACGGUGGCUAAUACCGCAUAACGUCGCAAGACCAAAGAGGGGGACCUUCGGGCCUCUUGCCAUCAGAUGUGCCCAGAUGGGAUUAGCUUGUUGGUGAGGUAACGGCUCACCAAGGCGACGAUCCCUAGCUGGUCUGAGAGGAUGACCAGCCACACUGGAACUGAGACACGGUCCAGACUCCUACGGGAGGCAGCAGUGGGGAAUAUUGCACAAUGGGCGCAAGCCUGAUGCAGCCAUGCCGCGUGUAUGAAGAAGGCCUUCGGGUUGUAAAGUACUUUCAGCGGGGAGGAAGGUGUUGUGGUUAAUAACCGCAGCAAUUGACGUUACCCGCAGAAGAAGCACCGGCUAACUCCGUGCCAGCAGCCGCGGUAAUACGGAGGGUGCAAGCGUUAAUCGGAAUUACUGGGCGUAAAGCGCACGCAGGCGGUCUGUCAAGUCGGAUGUGAAAUCCCCGGGCUCAACCUGGGAACUGCAUUCGAAACUGGCAGGCUUGAGUCUUGUAGAGGGGGGUAGAAUUCCAGGUGUAGCGGUGAAAUGCGUAGAGAUCUGGAGGAAUACCGGUGGCGAAGGCGGCCCCCUGGACAAAGACUGACGCUCAGGUGCGAAAGCGUGGGGAGCAAACAGGAUUAGAUACCCUGGUAGUCCACGCCGUAAACGAUGUCUACUUGGAGGUUGUGCCCUUGAGGCGUGGCUUCCGGAGCUAACGCGUUAAGUAGACCGCCUGGGGAGUACGGCCGCAAGGUUAAAACUCAAAUGAAUUGACGGGGGCCCGCACAAGCGGUGGAGCAUGUGGUUUAAUUCGAUGCAACGCGAAGAACCUUACCUGGUCUUGACAUCCACAGAACUUUCCAGAGAUGGACUGGUGCCUUCGGGAACUGUGAGACAGGUGCUGCAUGGCUGUCGUCAGCUCGUGUUGUGAAAUGUUGGGUUAAGUCCCGCAACGAGCGCAACCCUUAUCCUUUGUUGCCAGCGGUCCGGCCGGGAACUCAAAGGAGACUGCCAGUGAUAAACUGGAGGAAGGUGGGGAUGACGUCAAGUCAUCAUGGCCCUUACGACCAGGGCUACACACGUGCUACAAUGGCGCAUACAAAGAGAAGCGACCUCGCGAGAGCAAGCGGACCUCAUAAAGUGCGUCGUAGUCCGGAUUGGAGUCUGCAACUCGACUCCAUGAAGUCGGAAUCGCUAGUAAUCGUGGAUCAGAAUGCCACGGUGAAUACGUUCCCGGGCCUUGUACACACCGCCCGUCACACCAUGGGAGUGGGUUGCAAAAGAAGUAGGUAGCUUAACCUUCGGGAGGGCGCUUACCACUUUGUGAUUCAUGACUGGGGUGAAGUCGUAACAAGGUAACCGUAGGGGAACCUGCGGUUGGAUCACCUCCUUACCUUAAAGAA